rnacentral:rRNA from 1 species
UGUUUAAAGUGGCGAACGGCUGAGUAACACGUGGGCAACCUGCCCUUUGCACUGGGAUAGCCUCGGGAAACCGAGGUUAAUACCGGAUACUCCAUAUUUGUCGCAUGGCGAAUAUGGGAAAGCUCCGGCGGCAAAGGAUGGGCCCGCGGCCUGUUAGCUAGUUGGUGGGGUAGUGGCCUACCAAGGCAAUGAUGGGUAGCCGGGUUGAGAGACCGACCGGCCAGAUUGGGACUGAGACACGGCCCAGACUCCUACGGGAGGCAGCAGGG